rnacentral:rRNA from 1 species
AGAGUGAACGCUGGCGGCAGGCCUAACACAUGCAAGUCGAACGGCAGCACAGAGGAGCUUGCUCCUUGGGUGGCGAGUGGCGGACGGGUGAGGAAUACGUCGGAAUCUGCCUAUUUGUGGGGGAUAACGUAGGGAAACUUACGCUAAUACCGCAUACGACCUACGGGUGAAAGCGGAGGACCUUCGGGCUUCGCGCAGAUAGAUGAGCCGACGUCGGAUUAGCUAGUUGGCGGGUAAAGGCCCACCAAGGCGACGAUCCGUAGCUGGUCUGAGAGGAUGAUCAGCCACACUGGAACUGAGACACGGUCCAGACUCCUACGGGAGGCAGCAGUGGGGAAUAUUGGACAAUGGGCGCAAGCCUGAUCCAGCCAUGCCGCGUGUGUGAAGAAGGCCUUCGGUUGUAAAGCACUUUUUGUACGGUAAGAAAAGCUUUCGGUUAAUACCCGGAAGUUCGUAGACGGUACCGUAAGAAUAAGCAACCGGCUAAACUUCGUGCCAGAGCGACGGUAAGU